rfam:Triticum aestivum genome assembly, contig: Triticum_aestivum_CS42_TGACv1_scaffold_603544_7DL
CUUGUACUCCCUCUGUUCCAAAAUUCUUGUCUUAUAGAUUUGUCUAAAUAUGGAUGUAUCAAGUCACGCUUUAGUAUUAGAUACAUCCGUAUCUAGACAAAUGUAAGACAAGAAUUUUGGGACAGAGGGAGUAUAAG